rnacentral:rRNA from 1 species
AGCAGCCGCGGUAAUUCCAGCUCCAAUAGCGUAUAUUAAAGUUGUUGCAGUUAAGAAGCUCGUAGUUGAAUUUCGGGAUUCGUCCAUUGGUCAGGCUUAACUGUCUGUACUGGUGUGUCGGAUUUCUACCUUCUGAAGAACCUUCAUGCCAUUAAUUUGGUGUGUUGGGGAAUCAGGACUGUUACUUUGAAAAAUUAGAGUGUUUAAAGCAGGCUAACGCCUGAAUACAUUAGCAUGGAAUAAUGAAAUAGGACGGUACGGUUCUAUUUUGUUGGUUUCUAGGAUCGCCGUAAUGAUUAAUAGGGAUAGUUGGGGGCAUUAGUAUUCAAUUGUCAGAGGUGAAAUUCUUGGAUUUAUUGAAGACUAACUACUGCGAAAGCAUUUGCCAAGGAUGUUUUCAUUAAUCAAGAACGAAAGUUAGGGGAUCGAAGACGAUCAGAUACCGUCGUAGUCUUAACCAUAAACUAUGCCGACUAGGGAUUGGACGAUGUUAAUUUUUAAUGUACUCG